rnacentral:rRNA from 1 species
UACAGAGGGUGCAAGCGUUAAUCGGAGUUACUGGGCGUAAAGGGCGCGUAGGUGGUUUUUUAAGAUAGAGGUGAAAUCCCUGGGCUUAACCUAGGAACUGCCUCUAUGACUGAGGAACUGGAGUAUUGUAGAGGGUAGUGGAAUUUCCGGUGUAGCGGUGAAAUGCGUAGAGAUCGGAAGGAACACCAGUGGCGAAGGCGGCUACCUGGACAAAUACUGACACUGAGGCGCGAGAGCGUGGGUAGCAAACAGG